GAUUUUUCAUUUACUACUUUCUUAAUUGGUACUGGCUUCAGGGUGGAGCCUUUGGAGAAAUAGGGCCAGGGAGCAUGCAUUUUAGGGCCUAAUAAGCAUAGACAGCUGAAGGCAAAGACAGAUCCCUAAAAGUAAGGGUGAAAAUUUAUAUUGGAUUUUGGAUCCCCAAAAGGAGGGAGAAAGUAUGGGAGAAUACAGUGUAGUGCUUCUGCCAUGCAUUUC
rnacentral:lncRNA from 10 species